UUCAACUACUAAGGGGUCAGGACCACCUUCAAAAUGUGGUAGGUUAAGCUUCUUAAACUCUGCUAUGUCGUGGGAAAUGGACUUUUCAGUCAUUCGGUAUUCUAGGGCAGGAGGUGGACAACAAUUGGAUUGAUUUUAUCCUAUAAUUGCAACAAUCCUUCGAUGGCUUGGAAGAGUUAAGCAAAUUCAACACUGGUUGGAUGAUCUAGGGCUUCGAAUCACUCCGUACACUCUACAGAUGGUCUUCCUCAUGUCAUUCCUACAAAAGAAAGGAAGGCACGAGUUGGUGGUCUAAUUUUUUAAAAGAUGACUUAUUCUUCCUAAGUACACUGAGGGACUUUCUACCUAAGGCCUCAGUAAUAUGGGAUUUAGUCCGCGUAAUCUGCUUUGAUACCAUCUGUGACAUCUCAAAUGCUAAUUAAGGCAUGUGGGUAUUAAAUACAGAAACAGAGUUACGAGUGUAUGAUAAAAAUUAUAUGCAAUAGAG
rnacentral:lncRNA from 1 species